GUCCCAGGACUGCUGCAGCUAACUCUGCAUCACCUUGCAGUUCAGACACUGCUUCCUUUCUGCAGUCCUCUCUCUCUCUCUUCUAUUUUCCUCCUCUCUUUGGUCCUUCGCAGUUCCCCCCACCUUUCUGGUCACUUUCUUUUCUUAUCUGUCAUCUACCCCUUGUUUUACUUUAUCAAUAUGUACCGGAACCCUUGGAUCUCCAACUAUAUCAACCAUGUCAAGUUGUGCCAAGGCUUCACAGGAGAAACAGCCCCUAAAGUUGGCAAUACCAAACUACAACGGAGAGCUCUUAGCUUCCAGAAAGAGUUCUCGUUUGAGGAGAAAGACGAGGGAGUCAACAAAGAAUUAGAUGUCAGUCUGCUGGCAAAUACACCCAAGGUCUCAGAAUUAAGGAAACGUUUUGAGAGUAUAAGCACAAGUCAGAGUUGGGACAUGAACAGGAAAGAACGAAUUGCACGGCGUCUGGAGGGAAUCGAUAGUGAUGUUCUCCAAAAUAUCCCAGGUUGUGGCGGUCUAGUAACCAAUCGAAUGCUAGAGGAGGACACUCCAAGAUAUACCCGCGCAGCAGACACCUGUGACCCCUGUACAGUUUCUCUUCAGCACUAUGGCAAAAAUGACCCAGACUUCCCAACUCCGCACAGUGCAGAGGUUCAGUCUAGAACCCACAUGGUACAACCGGAGUCUGUCUACACCACUGGCUCCACUCUUGUGGCAGAGCCGGACUCUAAAGCUGAAAGGAUUGCUCGCUACAAGGCAGAACGGCGCCGUCAACUAGCAGAGCGCUAUGGCAUCUCUCUGGAUCAGGAGACAGAAACCGACUGUACCACUCGCUACUCCAGAACCUCCAGAGAGCCCGACGGCUCAGACCAACAACACAGGUCAAAGGCAGAAGGAGGAGACAGGGUGGAGCACAAUGCUUACACCACCAGCCAUCUUGUAGAUAGGGCCAGCUCUCACAUUCACACCGAUCCAGAGUACAGCCGAGAACGCACAGACUCCAUCUCUGAGCGCGAGAGGAUGAUGAAUCUGGAGAACCAGAGGAGGGCACAAGAGCGGGAUAGAUUGCAUGGAAGUGGAGGGGUUGCACCUGACCCGUCUGCAUAUAUGGAUGUGUCAGGGUCUGCCAGGGUUCCAGGGAGAGAACCAGGUGCCAUGGGGGUUCCCAGUUCGCCUAAUACAGGCCGAAGGGCCAUGAUGCCAUCUCCUAAACAGGGAGCAUCUCCCGGUGAUCUGUUUAUUGAGCAGCAGGCUCACAACAUCCUUCAAAGACACGGAAUCCGAGUUAGGGAGAAACUGGCCCGUGACGAGCCAUUUCACAGGGGUCAUACAACAGAGGUACCUGCGUACAACCAGUUUCCCCAGUCAUACCCUCGCUAUCACCCUCACACUCGGACCCUUGCUGAUGCUCCAGCCAAACAGCGCCUGACCCACCCUGGACAAGAGGAACGCCAUGACCUGGGGUGCCAGAGCUACUUUUCUAUGGGUGGCGAAUCUGGUUCCAGGCAUAAACAAGAGUUUCAGGAAGUACUUGAAGUUGAGGGAAAACAGGAUGUGAGGACUGAGGGGCUACUGCGGAGCAGGAAGGCCGUUUUACCCUCUGAGAUUCGACGGAAAGAACGGAGCACCGAAGACCCGUGCCUUGGAAGUGCUGACAACAUGGAGAUAAACCCAGGCAUCAGGAGCGAGGGUGUUGCAGAUGACCCCAGAGGGUGGCGUGGUGGUCGAUCAAGGCGGGAAGUUUACACAGAGCACGUGUCCCGUCUUCAGGCCACAGAGUCUAUGCAAGCAAGAGCUCGAGAGGCCCAUAAAAGGGCUGACGCUAGCUGCUACGCCCCAGUUCAUACCUCCAGUGGGAGAUAUAUGCCAAAUUCAUCCAAACCCCUGGAUGUUGGAAAUGUCCAAAAGACAGUUUUUCAACAGAACCCCAUCCAGGACCCAGUCAGAGAGGCUGUGCCCAAUGGCGAUCACCUAUCCCAUGAUGCCAGGGUUUCAGUAGCCCAACUCCGCCACACCUAUCUGGAAAGUGUUGCGAGUCCCCGGAAAGCCGAACUGGCAGAAGAGCUGCCUGUGGUCACAGAGGCACCCUGGAGAAGUGAGAGAGUCAAAGAUCGGUCAUCUCGUCGCCCUUUGCGGUAUAUAUGUCCUACUGAGAAUAGAAAGACAUCUGAGAGGUUUAGAACUCAGCCAAUCACAUCAACUGAGCGUGAACAGUCGGACCGGUCUUGCCUAAGCCCUGAACCACAGAGCCCUGAGGUGGAUGAAGAGAAGCUAGAUGAGAGAGCAAAGCUGAGUGUAGCUGCCAAGCGCUCUCUCUUCAGGGAGCUGGAGAAGACUUCAGAUGGUUCUGUUCUGAAGGCAUGGAGCCGUAAUCCUGCCAUUGAAAGGAGGUUGAGGAGAGGUCAGGAUCGCUCCCGCACUCAGCCAGUCACCUCAGAGGAAGUGGUCAUUGCUGCUACUGUCCCUGGCCACCCUGGCCAAACCUCUGUAGCACGUGUUCCUAGUCACACUGUAGUCAACAGCUCUGUGGCCAAAUUCAGCUUGCAGGCAUCUUCUCAGCAAAAGUCCAUGGUGAGGGAACAGGCCAGAGAGGUUCGGCUGGCUGAGGAGGGUGCGGAGACGGAUCGGGCUCGCCAUGCAUCUCCAGGGGAGGAUGGCCAAGAGGAGCCAGACCUUUCCACACUCACUCUGGCAGAGAAGAUGGCACUCUUCAAUCGCCUAGCACAGCCAUCCAGCCAUGGCCCUCGGGCCAAAGGAGACACUCGUGCACGCAGAAGUAACAGCCGGUACCAGACUCAGCCAAUCACACUUGGAGAGGUUGAACAGGAUGGUUCUGGUUCUGAGAUGUUUGACGAGGAAUCGGAGUUCUCAGAGGAUCUGAGUGAUCUGGAACAUCUGCAGCCUGCAGGUGGAGCUCGUUUUGCGUCCACCUCUUCCUCAGCCAUGAGAUCCUCCACUGUUUCCACUGAACAUGCUGGGGACAUACACUUGACCAUGUCCAGUGUAUCUGGCCCUGCCUACUAUGAGCAGACCCUCUCCCCACCUCACCACCCUCAACCUGCCCAAGAGAUCCAGACACACCAGAGCCCAGAUGUGUCCUCGGCAACCCAAAGAGAGAUGCUGGUAUUGAGCAUGGGGAAGAGGAAGCUCCCCUCUCCAGAGAGCAUGAAACAGACACCACACGCUCAGCCGGCCAGAGACUGGGAGGAGCUUAAAGGGCACAAUAAGGCUCUGUUGACCUCUCAAGACCUUUCAGAAACAGAUGGAGAGCACAAGUCAAAGGCAGCCAUGUCAGAUCUUCCUGUGCACACAGCCACAGUACGUGCCACGGCAGCUGUAUCACACGGCUUAUCCUCAUUACAGAGUGGCUCUCUUGCACAACACGCGCACGCACAGACACACGCAGAGUCAGCCGGACAACUUCUAGAGGACGACAGGAGAGAAGAGGAGCAGGACACAGACUUUAAAACAGAGGAAGGAGAAAAACUCUCAGACAUCAUGUCUGCCAGGCAGAUGUCCAUCAAAGAGAGACUGGCUCUAUUGAAGAAGAGUGGAGAGGAAGACUGGAGGAACAGGAUAAAUAAAAAACAGGAUGUGGUGCAGGUUGCUGUGUCUGAAAGACACGCCCAGCUAUGGGAAGUGGAGCAGAGCUUCAAGAAGAAGGAUGAUGGGAUGAUAGAUGACUUUGCCGUGUCUGAUCAACUCUGGGAUCCUGUCUUUUCCUCCUCCUUUUCAUGUGCAUCUGAACCACUGGAUCAAAUAGCAAUCCUCCCCAAGGCUACCCCCCUGCCCGUGCAGGUGGAUGAGCGUCACCCCUGGAGACGGAAGAGGAUGGGAAAUGAGGUUGCGGAGAGCCAGCGGAUUGAUCGAGUAGAGAUGUCUAUUCAGGAACGCAUGAAACUCAUCACCGCACAAGAGGAUGCGUGGAAGGUCAAAGGUUACAGAGCAGCCAAUGACUCCACUCAAUUUACAGUGGCUGGCCGUAUGGUUAAAAAAGGCCUGGCAGCCCCUUCUGUUCUCACAAAUCCAGUGCAGUCCCCUCUGUCCUCUAAAAAUAAGAAUGCCUCCCAUACAAUCUCAAAGCCACAUGAAGAGAUUGAAGUCAGACAGGACAUGAAGCUGGAGUCAGAUAAGAAGCUGGAAAAGUUGGAGUCAUUUCUUGGUCGUCUCAAUGGUAAAGUUUCAGGACUUCAGGAGGCCACAAUUGCAGUCACAGAGAAGUCCGUUAAAGAGGUCAUGACUCUGGAUGAUGAGACCUUCGAUAAGUUUUAUCGACACACAGAGGAUAUAGCCAAGAUUACCAGCAGUGUGGAAAUCAACGACGAUUUUGAUGACAUCUUUGGAGUGGAGCUGCCUAGGUUGACCUCAGAGAUGGUGCAACACAAGCGGGCGGUACGGCCCAACAGAAACGUUCAGUCAUCCAGAAACCCUCUGAAAAUGCUAGCUGUCCGGGAGGACAUAAGACACGAAUACACAGAACAGAGGCUAAACAUUGGCCUUCUGGAGAGCAAGAGGAUGAAACAGGAAAAGAUGAAUAAAAACAGCGGUUUCUCUGAGGUUGCUCUUGCUGGGUUGGCCAGUAAGGAAAACUUCAGCAGUGUGAGUCUGCGAAGUGUGAAUGCCUCUGAGCAGAGCUCCAACAACAGUGCCAUGCCCUAUAAAAAACUCAUGCUCAUUCAGGUCAAAGGUCGUCGGCACGUUCAGACCAGACUGGUUGAGCCCAGAUCUUCCUCUUUGAACAGUGGUGACUGCUUCCUCUUGAUCACACCCCAUCAUUGCUUCAUCUGGAUUGGAGAAUUUGCAAAUGUUAUCGAGAAGGCCAAAGCUGCAGAGUUGGCCACGUUCGUUCAGACCAAGCAUGACCUGGGAUGCAGAGCCUCAUAUGUGCAGACAAUUGAGGAAGGUGCCAACACUCACACUCAUGCUGCCAAAGAGUUUUGGAAGAUUCUCGGCGGCCAAGCCAAUUAUCAAGCUGCUGGCACUCCAGAGGAAGAUGAGUUCUAUGAGACUGCUGUCGUAGAAACCAACUGCAUCUAUAGGCUCAUGGAGGACAAACUUGUUCCUGAUGAUGAUUACUGGGGUCGAGUCCCUCGCUGCUCCAUGCUUAACUCUAAAGAAGUGCUGGUGUUUGAUUUUGGUAGCGAGGUCUACGUAUGGCAUGGUAAGGAGGUGACGCUGGCACAGAGAAAAGUGGCUUUUCAGCUGGCAAAGCACCUGUGGAAUGGCACCUUUGACUAUACCAACUGUGAUAUUAAUCCUCUGGACCCUGGAGAGUGCAACGCACUUAUACCCAGGAAAGGCCAGGGACGACCAGACUGGGCUGUGUUUGGCAGGUUAACUCAGCACAAUGAGACUACUCUUUUUAAAGAGAAGUUUUUGGACUGGAGCGACACCAAGAAAUCCUCUAAAAAGAAUGGUGACGCGCAUGUUGUUGAAAACAAGGAGCUUCGGAGCGGGGAAUGUCGGCCCUAUGAUGCGUCACUGAUGUUGUCAACAGUACGGACACCAGUCAAGACCGUUCUGGAUGGAGUCGAUGUCGGACGAGGUUAUGGACUGGUGGAAGGUGAUGAGGGGCGUAAUUUUGAGAUCAGCACAUUGUCUGUUGAUGUCUGGCACAUUCUAGAGUUUGACUAUAGUCGAUUACCUAAACAGAGCAUUGGUCAGUUCCAUGAAGGGGACACAUACGUGGUCAAAUGGAAGUACAUGAUCAGCACAGCUGUUGGCAAGAGGCUGCAUUCAGAACGGGUCAUUGGUCCAGGGAAGGAGAAAUGUUCUUAUUUCUUCUGGCAGGGUCGUAACUCCACGGUGAAUGAGAAGGGAACAUCAGCACUGAUGACUGUAGAGCUGGAUGAGGAGAGAGGUGCUCAGGUCCAGGUACAGCAGGGAAAGGAGCCUCCUUGUUUCCUACAGUGCUUCAAUGGAGGAAUGAUUGUUCAUGCUGGAAAGAGAGAAGAGGAGGAAGAAAAUUCACAAAAUGACUGGCGCUUAUACUGUGUGAGAGGAGAGAAACCCAUAGAGGGCCAUCUGCUGGAGGUGGUGUGCCACUGCAGCAGCCUACGGUCUCGCACCUCUUUGAUCCUCCUGAACAUCCCUAAAGCCAGCAUGUACCUGUGGCAUGGAUGCAAGGCGCAGACGCACACACGUGAUGUGGGCCGUACCGCUGCAAACAAAAUCAAAGAGCAGUGUCCUCUGGAGGCAGGGCUUCACAGCAGCAGUAAAGUGUCCAUCCAGGAGUGUGAUGAGGGAGCUGAACCACAAGGCUUCUGGGAGGCCUUGGGAAGGAGAGAUCGAAAGGCGUAUGACUGCAUGCUGCAGGAUCCGGGAAAGUUCAACUUCACUCCUCGGCUGUUCCAGUUAAGCAGUGCUUCAGGAGAGUUUGUGGCAGUGGAAUUUGUAUAUCCAUCCAGAGAACCAAAUUUGGUCAACUCGAUGCCAUUCCUACAGGAGGAUUUGUAUACAGCUACUCAGCCAGCCCUGUUUUUGGUGGACAAUCACCAUGAAGUUUACCUGUGGCAGGGCUGGUGGCCUCAGGACAGUGAGAGCACUGGAUCAGCUCGCAUACGAUGGGACUCUGACAGGAAGUGUGCCAUGGAAACUGUACUCCAAUAUAGCAAAGAAAAAAAUGAGAAGAAAACUCCAAAAUCAUACCUGAUCCACGCAGGGCUUGAGCCUCUUACCUUCACUAACAUGUUUCCUAGCUGGGAACACAGAGAGGACAUUGCUGAGAUCACAGAGAAGGAGGCUGAAGUAUGUAAUCAGAUCAUUCUUGUCGAAGACGUCUUGACUAGACUCUGCAAGACCAUUUACCCUUUGGCUGAUAUACAAGCCCGUCCCCUACCAGAAGGUGUUGACCCUCUACGUCUUGAGAUCUACCUAUCAGAUGAGGACUUUGAGUCUUGCGUCUGACUGAGGUUAAUUUUUCCCUUCACAUGCCAGGGUGUAGGGGCUUCUGGGAAGAAAGCAUUGGAGAUGACAAGAAGUGAAUAUGAGGCACUGCCAGGAUGGAAGCAAGUGAAUGUGAAGAAAGCCAAAGGAUUGUUUUAGAGGAACUAGAGGAAAUCUAACUGCACUGGAACUGCUGGUUGGGAUUGAAUUUGCAAGUGGAGACCUUCAUUCCUUUUUGAUUAAGACAGGACAAGCGCAAGUGAAGAAGAUCUACCCUGUGUCAAACCACACAGGCAGGUGAAAAGGAGCAUGUGGAAGAAGAAAAGACUGAGAUUGGCAAAGGUUUACCAGCCUCUUGUAGCACAUUUUUCCCAUUUUCUUCUUUUUUGUUUUUAUCGGUGAAUUAGUGAGAUUUUUUUGUUGUUGUUGUUGAAUGUUUUGAGUGCUUCCAGCUUGUUUUCCUCCCGUUUUUAUUGUUCUGCAUUGAUCUGUGUCCACUUAAAGCCAUUCACCGUCCAACAUGCACAAGGCAGCCCUCAUGCACUGCCCAGCUUAACAUCAUAAAGACACAAUAAAAAAAAGCCUUUUAGUAAUUUUCUGAAUGCAAGAAGGCUCAAAAGAGCACUUUAUGUAAGUACGUUCAUAUCUGCUCUCAUAAAUGACCUCAAGAUGUGUUUAACCUUCCAGACAGAUGCUUGAACUUGAGAACCCUACGUGUGUGUACAUGGGAAAGUGUUUGUGUAUCUAUACAGUGUGUGUGUGUCUCUUCGAAAAGGAUUGAAUGAAAUUGUGGAAUAAGAGAAAAUCUCUUUCUAUUAUGCGUUGUAUAGUGCCUUGCCUUCAUGUACAGUUUAUAUAAAGACAGAUGCUAGUCUGCAUUUUGAAGACAUAUUUGUGAUAUAAAUAAAUAUUGGUGCAAAUAAACACUGUAUAAUGUAGAUAAUA